CAACUUAAAAAUUAACUGACAACAAUCGUAUUGCUGUCGCUGCCUAACUAAAGGCAGCCGUCUGAACCGGAGAGGCCACAGGCCGGGGAAGGCGUCGUUAAUGUGGCGUCCGUGCGGCGGGUAAGAGUUGCCCCACCCACGCAUCAUGACUCUACUGAACCGCGCAGUCUGUCCGGUGUCUGCGCGGGGAGGGAAUGCUGAAACCUGACUGCGCUCGGAGAAGGUCCUGUUGAAGUGCUUUCGGACAGGGGUUCGACUCCCCUCAGCUCCACCA
rnacentral:tmRNA from 1 species